GUCUCUUUGUUAGUAUAAUUACAUAAGGAGUCGGACCUGCCCGGUGACAAAGUGUUAAACGGCCGCGGUACCCUAACCGUGCAAAGGUAGCAUAAUCAUUUGCCUCUUAAUUGGAGGCUGGUAUGAAUGGUUUGACGAGAGCUAAGCUGUCUCUUUUUAAAAUAUUUAGAAAUUAACUUCCAGGUGAAGAGGCCUGGAUUUUUUUAAGGGACAAGAAGACCCUGUUGAGCUUUAGUGAGUCUGUAAAUUUAUUUAAAUUUAAUAAGAUUGGUUGUAUGUAUAUAUAAAUUUAAUUUACAGGUAAUCUUUAGUUGGGGCGACUGAGGAGUAAGUGAAGCUUCCUUGAAACAUUGAAUACUUGAAGAUUUAUUUAAUUCAGGUUGUUAGUAAUGCUUACUAGUUAUAAGUGAUCCGGAUUUUUCCGAUCAAGGGAAAAAGUUACCACAGGGAUAACAGCGUAAUCUUUCUGGAGAGAUCUUAUCGAAAGAAGGGUUUGCGACCUCGAUGUUGGACUAAGGUAUCCUAAGGGUGUAGAAGCUCUUGUUGGUUGGUCUGUUCGACCAUUAAAACCUU
rnacentral:rRNA from 1 species